rnacentral:rRNA from 1 species
CACGUAGGGCGCAAGCGUUGUCCGGAAUUAUUGGGCGUAAAGAGCUCGUAGGCGGUCUGUUGCGUCCGCUGUGAAAACUCGGGGCUUAACCCCGAGCCUGCAGUGGAUACGGGCAGACUAGAGGUAGGUAGGGGAGAAUGGAAUUCCCGGUGUAGCGGUGAAAUGCGCAGAUAUCAGGAGGAACACCGGUGGCGAAGGCGGGUCUCUGGGCCAUUACUGACGCUGAGGAGCGAAAGCGUGGGGAGCGAACAGG